rnacentral:rRNA from 1 species
ACCUCGGAUCAUGUAGGAGCCCCGCCGAUU